UCUGAGCAGGCCUGCUGGGCUCAGCACAUUGUGGCCUGUCCUCCUUUCUUUGGUUUUCUGCUUUGGAACAAGACAGCUUCUCUCCUUGAAGGACACCUUACUGAGAACAGCCUCAGACGGGAUCUCCUCUGGCUACCUCUGGACAGUUAUUCCUUCUGUAGCCACGCAUCACGUCUCCUCGCAAGAUGAAGAGCUGAAAGAGAUGAAAAGCAGACUCCUGGCUCUCGGGGAGGGGGUGGGGGGAACCCGUUGCAAAGGUAAGAAAUGCGUGGUUUUUGAAAAAAAAAAAAAAAAAAAAA